AUUGAACGCUGGCGGAAGGCCUAACACAUGCAAGUCGAACGAGUGGCGGACGGGUGAGUAAUGUCUGGGAAACUGCCCGAUGGAGGGGGAUAACUACUGGAAACGGUAGCUAAUACCGCAUACCCUCGGAUGUGCCCAGAUGGGAUUAGCUUGUAGGGGAGGUAACGGCUCACCUAGGCGACGAUCCCUAGCUGGUCUGAGAGGAUGACCAGACCGGCUGGAAAGCAGACACGGUCCAGACGCCUACGGGAGGCAGCAGGGGGUAUGAGUGAACAAUGGGCGCAAUCCUGAUGCAGCCAUGGCGCGUGGAGGAAGAAGGCCUUCGGGUUGUAGAUUACGUUCAGCGGGGAGGCGUGACCCGCAGAAGAAGCACCGGCUAACUCCGUGCCAGCCGCCGCGGUAAUAC
rnacentral:rRNA from 1 species